UCAGUAACCUCAUCAAAGUGCCCAGUGCGACGCCAGCUCCCAAGCCCUGCUCUCUCAGCCUUCCCUCAGGAGAUCAGAAUCAUGGAUGGACACCAAAUACCACCUCCUCUUGCCCCAGAUGAUUCUCACUACCAAGGAUCUUGCUAGAAAAUGCCCUCACUCAACAACUAAGUCCACGCAGGUCUUCUGCACCAUGAUCAUUACCUUUUAGUUCCUGAGGAAUGGGUCUACCGGCUCACUGGCGACAAACUGGGCCCGAUUCCAAACCACCCUGCAGUGCCAUUUAUAAGGAUCUUGGCUUUGCAACUGGCUCUUCAUGACGUCUCCCGCUCAAGUAGCCUACGAAUGCCCUAAGAAAGAUGCCGCUUUUUCCUCCGCUGUGGUCCUGGACCACUGGGCAAGCCAAAGGAAGAACUCACAAGGACAUGCUCCGUCUGGCUCUGCUGCAGCCCCUCCACGCA